GUGAACAUGUGUACCUACAGUUCACUGCAAAAAGCUAAAUCUCACCAAAUGUAUUUUUGUCAUUUCUAGUCCAAAUAUCUCAUCACACUUAAAAUCAGACAGAAUCACCUAAAGAGGAACU